GGGCAGAGUUGUUUAUUGGGGGUGUGGGGUCUGUGUAAUCCAUGGAUUGGUGAAUACAGAAGGGUUGGAUAUUCCUGCUGGCCUGUUCCUGGGAAUGGGACAACUGCCGCUUCCAAGCUGGGAGAGCAGGGAUGAGUUUGGCUGCUUUAGUUAUGGACAAACUUUUGCUGAAGAGAUCAGAGGUGUGACAUUCUCUGUCUGAAAGCUGAUGAAACAUUGAUAAAUUAAAAGAAUCGGAGCUGAGGCAAGGAACAAAACUCUAAUAUUUUCCUGAAACACGCAUUUAUCUGGGGCUAAUACCCAGAGUGAGUGAACAGCUUUGUGUCAUGGAAGAUCCAAAACGAAAUCCCAGCUGUUCUUCCAGUCACCUCUGCAGUGGCUUCAGAAGAGAUUUGUUAAAAACCCCGAGAUCUCAGUUUUCCAGAUUCGAUUCUACAUGGACGUGAUUGUCACAUCUUUUCAAGGCUGCUCUUUUCAGUGAGCCCCAGGAUAUGGGUCAGCAAACUUGAGAGCACAAGAGCAGGCUGAUAAAACAGAAGUGAAAGACUCACUAAUGUGUCAAGUAUUGAUGUUGCUGCAAGCUUUCCCUUGUCUCCCGCUCCGUCAGUAAAUAAUUCACCAGACUCCUGUUAGUCCUCGUGGUGAUACUGAAGGGUUCUUUCAUUAAUUUAUGAUUUUCGUCUGGGAGAAGCUUUCGAUGAUUUCAGAGCUGUGGUGGUGGGGUGCGUGUUCCUUGCGUCUGUCCAGUUUUCCAUAAGUGUUUUCCCUCACUUUUUUGAGGUGUGCAGAUCGGCUGUUGGCUCUUCCUGAAAGGCCAGGCUGGAAAUUCCAGCGAUUGGGAAGAAUACAGCAUAUUUUAAAUUACAGCUCCUGCUGUUACUGAAAUGGGAGGUGAAUCCUGACUGAAGGUGCAAGGGAAAUGCGGAUGGACUCAGGAAUCUUUUCGGUUGUACUUUUCCUCCUGCAUGCAACUAAAAAAAGGGAUAUUAAUCUCAUCCAAACCCAUUAUUCUUCAACACACACCUUCACCCUUACUGCUGCAGCCCUGGGGUGCUGUUUUUGGGACAGGUUCUCCCAUUCAACUCCCCUGUUAAUCUGGGAUCCAAGGAGCAUUGACAUUCCCACCCAGCCCACGGGACGUUCGCGGCGCCGGCUCCUCCUCCGUGUGCCGAUGGCUCUGUCUCUCCGGAAUGUGGUCAAUGGCACGGAGGGAGGUCCAAAAGCCUUUCCCUGUUUGUCCUGCUUAUCCCUGCAUGUCCCAGGUCGCUGCCCGAGGCAGGCAGGGUAUUUAUAGCUGGAAUGUUUGAUGUUCGCGGCGCCUUCCCGAGGCCAUGUCUGAUUCCUUUGGGUUCAGCGGGCUCCAUGAGACUUCUCCUGGUUUUUGUGCUCCGGGCACAGCUCUCUGAGUCAGUGCCAGCUCUCCCUCGGUGUUUACAGUGGAUUUUCCUUUGAAAUAUGCAUUGCCCUUUGGAUUUUGUGUAGGAUCAGCACUUUCUUCGUCUGGCACCCUAAGACCCCUGAGGAAGUUUAAGGGAUGGCUCAUUUUGGAUCAUCAUUCCCUUGCUUCUUUCCCAAAGCCCUUCCGUUGCAUUAACCAUGGGAUUAUUUAUAGCAGCCCUUUUGAGCCAGGCCAGCCUGCAGUGCUCAGGAAUUAUUGCAGAGCUGCCGGGGAUGUGCGUCGUGGGUGUUCUCUGGAAUUGGGGGAUGUGGGAAGCACAGGGACAUCCGUCCUUCAGUGCCCCCCUGGAGCUAAAGCCUGGCAUGGAGACAGACCCUCCUUGGCAUGUCCUCACUGAGCCUUUCCUGCUGGAUUUUCUGCUUUUCCAAGGGAAAGAGAUGCGAAUUUCCUCAUGGAAAUUUCUUGGGUUUCAGAGGAUUUUUUUCCCUAAAAAAAAAAAAAAAAAAGCAUCCAUGAAGUGGAAGUGUCUGGGCCAAAGGGGUUUGUUGGUGUUCAGGAUUUAAUUUAAAAUCAUGUUUGUUUGGUCUUCACGUGAAGACAAGGAAUUCAAGUUUCAAGGCACUCUGGAGGCCAAGCUUUCCAUCCUGUUUCCUUUUUGUCCCACUAACUUCCUCGACUUGAAUCACCACUUCAGUCCUUUCCUUGGGUUUUAUUUCACUUGUUAGGAAAAGGAGAAAACCAGCCUCCCAUUAUUCUGUUGAUUCCUGAAAAUUGUGGGAAAUAGGUCGCAAUUAGCCUUUUGGAUAAGUAGUUUCUUCAUUUUCCAUGGAUUAAUAGGAAGAGGUGGAUGCGUUUGGGUUUUCACUCUCAUUCUUUGCUUUAUUUUCUUUUUGGCUUUAUCCUGAUGCCUCCUUUCUCUUGACCUGCCAGAACUUUGGAGUUUCUUGCGUUAGUGCCAACAUAUUUAGGCUCAAGUUUAACAAAAAAAUAAGUGUUAAUUUUGUAGUGGGGACAAAGACCCACGGAAGCCCAACCUUGAGGGAAGAAGCUGUUGGUGACCAGGAAGGACCAGGGCUCUCAGGGAAAUGGGAAUUGGUGAUUUUCGGCUAGGACAGGUUCUAUCAUGCCAUCUCCACCUUUGAAAUGCUCAGAUUUCCUCAUCCCAAAUCCUGGAAUUACAUUCAUCAGCCUCCUGUACUUUGCCCAUUUUUUUUUUUUUCCUCCAACAGCGCCCUGAAGCAUCUGUAGAAUAAUCAUGUUCAAAAUUCAUUGCUUUGUAUUUUUAACUUCAACCCUAAAAUGCUGAGACAGCUCAAUGUGUCUGGAGCCUCUUUCUGGAUCCCCAGUCAUUCCAACAUCUGACCCAUCUGGCUCAGCAUUUGUCCCUCCGAUGUUUCUGCAAGGAAAAGUUGUCUCCAACGCUAUUCCGGGCAAGGCUUACAAGGUCUCAUGAUUAAAAAUGCAUUUCUAUGAUGUUUCCAAAACACCACUUUCAUCUUAUUGCUAAAGCGGUAUAAAUUCCACGGUGAGCGCUCUAUGAAACGCUAUUUAUAGAAGAAAUGAGUGUAGCUGCAGCCCUGCGCUGGGGUUUGCUGGCUCAGGAUGAGCUGUGUUUUAUACCUGGCAAUUACUCACAGAAAAGCAAGAGGGGGGAAAAAAAGAAGAAGAGCUGCUUGAGAUGAUUGUGGGGUUUGUGUGGAACAUCAAACAGUGGCUGGUGAGACCUGCCAGGGCGAUCUGAACGAAAAAAUCAGGGUGGCAGUAACAAACUGUCCCUUUCUACUGCCUCUGUAAUUCUGCGAACCAUUAUUCCUGGAAUGGGGGAUUCCAGGGGAUGCAGCAGCUGCAGCCUUUGCUGGGAAUGAGGGCUUGGAGGUAUUCCUGGAAUGAUUUAGGGGCUGAGCUCUCAGGGAAGCAGAGGAGUUUCUGUGCUGAAGAGGCUGGGAAGAGCCCUCUUCCCACCUUGUCCCUGUCUCCUGAGCACAUGGAAGCACCUGAGGAGAGGAAGCAGCCUCAGGCUGCACCAGAUAAGAUUGGAUAGGAGGAGAAAAUUCCUCUUGUCCAGCCCUGUCCCGAGAACACCACCCAUCUGUCUGAGAGGUUUCAGUGUUUUACUUUAAUGUGCAAAAUGUGACACUGUGUGCAGGGAGGUUCUAAAAACAAAUGAAAUGAUGGCAGCUGCUUUUAUUGUCUCUUAAUGUAAAAAGAAACUAUUUUCGCAUGACUUGU